rnacentral:rRNA from 1 species
CCUACGGGGGGCUGCAGUGAGGAAUAUUGGUCAAUGGGCGAGAGCCUGAACCAGCCAUGCCGCGUGCAGGAAGACGGCCCUACGGGUUGUAAACUGCUUUUGUGUGGGAAGAAAAAGCCUUACGUGUAGGGCACUGACGGUACCAUAUGAAUAAGCAUCGGCUAACUCCGUGCCAGCAGCCGCGGUAAUACGGAGGAUGCGAGCGUUAUCCGGAUUUAUUAGGGUUAAAGGGUGUGUAGGAGGAAGCUUAGAAAUCCCCCGGCUCAACCGGGGAACUGCCAUAGAUACUGGGUUUCUUGAGUACAGUUGAAGUAGGCGGAAUGUGUAAUGUAGCGGUGAAAUGCAUAGAUAUUACACAGAACACCGAUUGCGAAGGCAGCUUGCUAAGCUGUUACUGACGCUGAUGCACGAAAGCGUGGGGAGCGAACAGGAUUAGAUACCCUUGUAGUC